rnacentral:rRNA from 1 species
GGGAAACUGCCUGAUGGAGGGGGAUAACUACUGGAAACGGUAGCUAAUACCGCAUAACGUCGCAAGACCAAAGAGGGGGACCUUCGGGCCUCUUGCCAUCAGAUGUGCCCAGAUGGGAUUAGCUAGUAGGUGGGGUAAUGGCUCACCUAGGCGACGAUCCCUAGCUGGUCUGAGAGGAUGACCAGCCACACUGGAACUGAGACACGGUCCAGACUCCUACGGGAGGCAGCAGUGGGGAAUAUUGCACAAUGGGCGCAAGCCUGAUGCAGCCAUGCCGCGUGUGUGAAGAAGGCCUUCGGGUUGUAAAGCACUUUCAGCGAGGAGGAAGGUGGUGAGCUUAAUACGCUCAUCAAUUGACGUUACUCGCAGAAGAAGCACCGGCUAACUCCGUGCCAGCAGCCGCGGUAAUACGGAGGGUGCAAGCGUUAAUCGGAAUUACUGGGCGUAAAGCGCACGCAGGCGGUUUGUUAAGUCAGAUGUGAAAUCCCCGGGCUCA